GAUCCUGGCUCAGGAUGAACGCUGGCGGCGUGCUUAACACAUGCAAGUCGAACGAAGCACUUUAAUUGAUUUCUUCGGAAUGAAGUUUUUGUGACUGAGUGGCGGACGGGUGAGUAACGCGUGGGCAACCUGCCGUCAUACAGGGGGAUAACAGUUGGAAACGACUGCUAAUACCGCAUAAGCGCACGGGAUUGCAUGAUCCAGUGUGAAAAACUCCGGUGGUAUGAGAUGGACCCGCGU
rnacentral:rRNA from 1 species